GAUGAACGCUGGCGGCGUGCCUAAUACAUGCAAGUCGAACGAACAGACAGUGAGCUUGCUCCUCUACCGUUAGCGGCGGACGGGUGGGUAACACGUGGAUAACCUACCUCUAAUACGUGGAUGACUUCGGAGAGCCGGAGCUACUACCGGAUCAUAUAUUGAACCGCAUGGUUCAGUAGUUAAUGACGGUUUUGCUGUCUCUUAUAGCUGGUUCCGCGCCGCAUUGGCUGGGUGGUAAGGUAACGGCCUACCAAGGCAACGAUGCGUGGCCGACCCGAGAGGGUGAUCCGCCACACUGGAACUUAGACACGGUUCAGACUCCUACGGGAGGCAGCAGUAGGGAAUCUUCCGCAAUGGGCGAAAGCCCGACGGAGCAACGCCGCGGGAGGUAUGAAGGUCUUCGGAGCGGAAAACCCUGUUAGUAGGGAAGAAAAAACGGGUAAGUAACUAUGCACGGCUUGACGGUAACUAAAAAGAAAGCCACGGCUAACUACGUG
rnacentral:rRNA from 1 species